GAUGAACGCUGGCGGCGUGCUUAACACAUGCAAGUCGAGCGAAGCGGUUUAAGUGAAGUUUUCGGAUGGAAUCCGGUUGACUGAGUGGCGGACGGGUGAGUAACGCGUGGAUAACCUGCCUCACACUGGGGGAUAACAGUUGGAAACGGCUGCUAAUACCGCAUAAGCGCACAGUACCGCAUGGUACCGUGUGAAAAACUCCGGUGGUAUGAGAUGGACCCGCGUCUGAUUAGCUAGUUGGUGGGGUAACGGCCUACCAAGGCGACGAUCAGUAGCCGACCUGAGAGGGUGACCGGCCACAUUGGGACUGAGACACGGCCCAA
rnacentral:rRNA from 1 species